rnacentral:rRNA from 1 species
UUGGAGGGCAAGUCUGGUGCCAGCAGCCGCGGUAAUUCCAGCUCCAACAGCGUAUAUUAAAGUUGUUGCAGUUAAAAAGCUCGUAGUUGAAUUUCGGGAUUAGUACGCUGGUCGUGCCUUCGGUACGUACUGGUGUUACUGAUUCCUACCUUCUGACGAACCAUCAUGUCAUUAAUUUGGUGUGGCGGGGAAUCAGGACUGUUACUUUGAAAAAAUUAGAGUGUUUAAAGCAGGCUCGCGCUUGAAUACAUUAGCAUGGAAUAAUGAGAUAGGACGUUGAUCCUAUUUUGUUGGUUUCUAGGAUUGACGUAAUGAUUAAUAGGGAUAGUUGGGGGCAUUAGUAUUCAAUUGUCAGAGGUGAAAUUCUUGGAUUUAUUGAAGACUAACUACUGCGAAAGCAUUUGCCAAGGAUGUUUUCAUUAAUCAAGAACGAAAGUUAGGGGAUCGAAGACGAUCAGAUACCGUCGUAGUCUUAACCAUAAACUAUGCCGACUAGGGAUCGGAUGAUGUUAUUUUUAAUGACUCAUUCGGCGCCUUACGGGAAAC